rnacentral:rRNA from 1 species
CCUACGGGAGGCUGCAGUGAGGAAUAUUGGUCAAUGGACGAGAGUCUGAACCAGCCAAGUCGCGUGAAGGAUGACUGCCCUAUGGGUUGUAAACUUCUUUUAUAUGGGAAUAAAAUGUUCCACGUGUGGGAUUUUGUAUGUACCAUAUGAAUAAGGAUCGGCUAACUCCGUGCCAGCAGCCGCGGUAAUACGGAGGAUCCGAGCGUUAUCCGGAUUUAUUGGGUUUAAAGGGAGCGUAGGUGGAUUGUUAAGUCAGUUGUGAAAGUUUGCGGCUCAACCGUAGAAUUGCAGUUGAAACUGGCAGUCUUGAGUACAGUAGAGGUGGGCGGAAUUCGUGGUGUAGCGGUGAAAUGCUUAGAUAUCACGAAGAACUCCGAUUGCGAAGGCAGUUCACUGGACUGCAACUGACACUGAGGCUCGAAAGUGUGGGUAUCAAACAGGAUUAGAUACCCCAGUAGUC